rnacentral:rRNA from 1 species
UAGAGUUUGAAUUCCUGCUCAGGACGAACGCUGGGCGGCGUGCUUAACACAUGCAAGUCGAACGAUGAACCGCUUUCGGGCGGGGAUUAGUGGCGAACGGGUGAGUAACACGUGGGCAAUCUGCCCUGCACUCUGGGACAAGCCCUGGAAACGGGGUCUAAUACCGGAUAUGACUGUCCAUCGCAUGGUGGAUGGUGUAAAGCUCCGGCGGUGCAGGAUGAGCCCGCGGCCUAUCAGCUUGUUGGUGAGGUAGUGGCUCACCAAGGCGACGACGGGUAGCCGGCCUGAGAGGGCGACCGGCCACACUGGGACUGAGACACGGCCCAGACUCCUACGGGAGGCAGCAGUGGGGAAUAUUGCACAAUGGGCGAAAGCCUGAUGCAGCGACGCCGCGUGAGGGAUGACGGCCUUCGGGUUGUAAACCUCUUUCAGCAGGGAAGAAGCGAAAGUGACGGACCUGCAGAAGAA